UAGUCCACGCCGUAAACGAUGUCAACUAGCCGUUGGGAGCAAUUAAGCUCUUAGUGGCGCAGCUAACGCGAUAAGUUGACCGCCUGGGGAGUACGCCGGCAACGGUAAAACCCAAAUGAAUUGACGGGGGCCCGCACAAGCGGUGGAGCAUGUGGUUUAAUUCGAUGCAACGCGAAAAACCUUACCUACCCUUGACAUCCUCAGAACUUGUUAGAGAUAACUUGGUGCCUUCGGGAACUGAGUGACAGGUGCUGCAUGGCUGUCGUCAGCUCGUGUCGUGAGAUGUUGGGUUAAGUCCCGCAACGAGCGCAACCCUUGUCCCUAGUUGCCAGCACGUAAAGGUGGGAACUCUAGGGAGACUGCCGGUGACAAACCGGAGGAAGGUGGGGAUGACGUCAAAUCAUCACGGCCCUUACGUCCUGGGCUACACACGUGCUACAAUGGUCGGUACAGAGGGCAGCUACCUGGUGACAGGAUGCAAAUCUCUAAAGCCGGCCCUAGUUCGAAUUGAAGUCUGCAA
rnacentral:rRNA from 1 species